GCUAAUUUUGACCAUAUGGCAAUGUAUCAUUACCCGUUCUAAAGUUUACAUCUUCUACACUUUCCUCAAGAAGGUUUUUUUUUUUUUUUUUUCUUUUUUCCCCCUUUUGGUGCUACAUAGAAUUCUUUCUCUGAAAGUGCAUGCUGGGAUGCCAAAAUGUGUGAAACCAAGACAUGAUUUAUCCGUUUAUUGUCACAUAUAGGAACCAAUAGACCAACUAUGUCCUGAGGGUGUGAACUGUGAGAGAUCAAUCAAUUUACAGAGCUUUGGCAAACGUUGAACAGCUGGUGCUGAAAUUCUUUGCUGGAGAAAUGACCAACCCACCAGAGAUUACAGAUUUAAGCCAAGAUUGAUGGUUAAACCUUGUAAAUAAAAUUCUCUUCAAAUGUGUCCUGACCGAUUAU
rnacentral:lncRNA from 1 species